AGACUCGACGCCUUCCGCGUCUUCAAACUCCAUGGCCGCCAAGUCGUUCGCGCCCUUGACAACCUUGUGAACCCAGCGCGCGUUGGCCAGCUCUGCGAGGUGGUUGUGAAACGACGUGUCCGCGUAGAGCGGGAAAGAAGGCGACGUCAAGCUCGUGUACUUGAGAUCGCCGUCGACGUAGAACUCAAUCGCGCCCGCGUCGUUCACGAUCACUUGGAAAGUCUCACCCGCGACGAAGACGCCGGCAUCGAACUUGUUCACGCCCUUCUCUUGGAAUCGGACCUGAUUGCCGUUGCAGAACACGGCGUAGUCGAUGGUCGUUUGGCUGUGGCCCGAGGGCGUGCUCGACAAGCCAAACUGCAAGUGCCUGUUGUCGGUGCGCAUGCAGUCGCCGGAAAUGCCGCGAACCUCGUCGCCGACUUUCGUGAUGGCGCGCGCGCUGUACGCACCUCUUGCCCAGUUGUUCCCGCCUUGAGUACGUUUGAGGUAGCCCUGUUUGCCGUCCGUCGUCAUGCCCUGCGAAAGUCCGACCCACUCGAUGAGAUCGAGAUCCCGUGAACCUUUAUGAACAACUUUUAUCCACUUCACAUUUUCGAGGUGUCCUCCACCUUCAUCAACGUAUCCAUCGGCAAACAAUGGGAAGAUCGGUUCUCUGCUACUAUUGUAGACAGAAUGUCCUUCUUUAUAAUAGUGAACGAUACCCUCGUCAUUAAAUGCGACCUGGAACGUUUCUCCCGCGAGGUAUGUUCCGAUCGUGGCCAUAAGCUCACCGUCUUCGUAAACUUCCAUUGUUCCGGCAUUGCAACCAACGGCAUACUCAAUAGCAUCGCCAUCCGAGGGUGUGUAAUGAGCGCUGCUCAAACCGAAUAUCAUUUUCGUUGUUGUGUCACUGCAAUCCGCAGAAAUACCGCGAACUUCGUCAUAAAUUUUAGUUACGGCGCGUUUACUUGUCGAGCGCACAAUGUCCAUUUUUUCAGGUGUAACCGGCAAGUACACGUCGCCGUGUGACACUUCACAUCGCUGGACUGUUUCAAAGUCCAUCAUGUUUAGCCAAUGCAUGUGGCUUAGCUUCGCACCUUCGGUGAAGAUUCGAGCCUGGGAGUAAAGAGGGAAUUCAACACUUUUAGUGCUGACAUGAAGAACAUUACCAUUUUGCAGAUACUCGAUGACACCAUGCUCGUUGAUGACGAUAGAAAAUGUCUCUCCAGGGCUGUACGCCGAAGGAGGCUCGACAAUGCGCUCGUGCCUUUGGAAGGCUGACGCAUUGUGUUGGUCAUUUAUGUAUUCGGGUGAAUCACUAUCCAAUGAAUCAAGUGCCAAGUCUGGCGAAGUACCAAGAUGUGUUGAAGGCGGUGGACCUUGAGCAUCGUUCUCCGGGGUCGGGACUUGAAGUUGGCCUUCAAUCCCAUGUGGUGUAUUCGGCUCGGGACGUCGAUGUGGCUCGAUUGUUUUGAUGACAACUCCAUCUUCAAGGAGACGCAACGUUCCGGCAUCACAGUAUAUCGCAAAGGACAGGUUCGUCUGCGCCGGAGCAGUAGCGGUUUCAUUCGCAGCGGUUUCAUUCAACUGAGCAUCUUGAUCACCUUGCACCAUGAGUCCAAACAUCAUCUGUGACUUGUUGUCGGAACAAUCGGCAGACACGCCUUUUUUGGUGUCAUUCCAACCGCGAAUUGAUGAACGACUCGUUGCGAAAGCAAGUAAUGAAGCUUCUUCGAUGCGUUUUGCCGCCUCUUCACUCAACACGUGAGCGAGAGAUCCAGGUGUAAGAGUCGCAUUCUCAGGUAGAAGGAACUCAACAGGCUCAAGGUCAUCGGCACCUUCAAUGAUUCGGUAAACCCAGCGCGCGUUGGCCAGCUCUGCGAGGUGGUUGUGAAACGACGUGUCGGCGUAGAGCGGGAAAGAAGGCGACGUCAAGCUCGUGUACUUGAGAUCGCCGUCGACGUAGAACUCAAUCGCGCCCGCGUCGUUCACGAUCACUUGGAAAGUCUCACCCGCGACGAAGACGCCGGCAUCGAACUUGUUCACGCCCUUCUCUUGGAAUCGGACCUGAUUGCCGUUGCAGAACACGGCGUAGUCGAUGGUCGUUUGGCUGUGGCCCGAGGGCGUGCUCGACAAGCCAAACUGCAAGUGCCUGUUGUCGGUGCGCAUGCAGUCGCCGGAAAUGCCGCGAAUCUCGUCGCCGACUUUCGUGAUGGCGCGCGCGCUGUACGCGCCUCUUGCCCAGUUGUUCCCGCCUUGAGUACGUUUGAGGUAGCCCUGUUUGCCGUCCGUCGUCAUGCCCUGCGAAAGUCCGACCCACUCGAUGAGAUCCAAGUCGUUCGCACCCUCGUGGACAGUCUGUAUCCAGGAGACUCGAGAGAAAGACGCGCCUGCAGUGUUGAAGCGCGCGGUGGCGUAGAGCGGGAAGGCAGGCGCCUCAUCAGACGUCGCAAACGCCGCGCCAUCCUUGUAGUACGUGACGACGCCCGAGUCGAGCACGACCACUUGGAACGUCUCACCGACGAAGUAAUCGCCAAAGUCGCCGUCGCGCACGACGCCGUGUUCGGAGAUGCGGAUCACGCCGUUGUCGCACACAAUGCCGAAGUCGACCACCUCGUCGACGGAGUUCGUCGAGCCAGAGUUCAAGCCAAUCAUCAUGGACUUGUCCGUUUGGUCGCAAUCCGCGGAGACGCCACGCACUUCGUCGCCGAUCUUCGUGAUGGCACGUUUGCUCGUGGCGCCGACGUUCCAGCCACUGCCUGCCAUUGUGCGCGUCACUUGGCCCGCGGAAGACUCGACGCCUUCCGCGUCUUCAAACUCCAUGGCCGCCAAGUCGUUCGCGCCCUUGACAACCUUGUGAACCCAGCGCGCGUUGGCCAGCUCUGCGAGGUGGUUGUGAAACGACGUGUCCGCGUAGAGCGGGAAAGAAGGCGACGUCAAGCUCGUGUACUUGAGAUCGCCGUCGACGUAGAACUCAAUCGCGCCCGCGUCGUUCACGAUCACUUGGAAAGUCUCACCCGCGACGAAGACGCCGGCAUCGAACUUGUUCACGCCCUUCUCUUGGAAUCGGACCUGAUUGCCGUUGCAGAACACGGCGUAGUCGAUGGUCGUUUGGCUGUGGCCCGAGGGCGUGCUCGACAAGCCAAACUGCAAGUGCCUGUUGUCGGUGCGCAUGCAGUCGCCGGAAAUGCCGCGAAUCUCGUCGCCGACUUUCGUGAUGGCGCGCGCGCUGUACGCGCCUCUUGCCCAGUUGUUCCCGCCUUGAGUACGUUUGAGGUAGCCCUGUUUGCCGUCCGUCGUCAUGCCCUGCGAAAGUCCGACCCACUCGAUGAGAUCCAAGUCGUUCGCACCCUCGUGGACAGUCUGUAUCCAGGAGACUCGAGAGAAAGACGCGCCUGCAGUGUUGAAGCGCGCGGUGGCGUAGAGCGGGAAGGCAGGCGCCUCAUCAGACGUCGCAAACGCCGCGCCAUCCUUGUAGUACGUGACGACGCCCGAGUCGAGCACGACCACUUGGAACGUCUCACCGACGAAGUAAUCGCCAAAGUCGCCGUCGCGCACGACGCCGUGUUCGGAGAUGCGGAUCACGCCGUUGUCGCACACAAUGCCGAAGUCGACCACCUCGUCGACGGAGUUCGUCGAGCCAGAGUUCAAGCCAAUCAUCAUGGACUUGUCCGUUUGGUCGCAAUCCGCGGAGACGCCACGCACUUCGUCGCCGAUCUUCGUGAUGGCACGUUUGCUCGUGGCGCCGACGUUCCAGCCACUGCCUGCCAUUGUGCGCGUCACUUGGCCCGCGGAAGACUCGACGCCUUCCGCGUCUUCAAACUCCAUGGCCGCCAAGUCGUUCGCGCCCUUGACAACCUUGUGAACCCAGCGCGCGUUGGCGAGCUCUGCGAGGUGGUUGUGAAACGACGUGUCCGCGUAGAGCGGGAAAGAAGGCGACGUCAAGCUCGUGUACUUGAGAUCGCCGUCGACGUAGAACUCAAUCGCGCCCGCG
rnacentral:lncRNA from 1 species